GUUAGCAGCACUCUAAGGGGUUGGGACUGAAGGGACAGACAGGAGGGAAAGAAGGAAGAUUUGGGAUGAGUCACUUUGGGAGCAGAGCCUAGGGAGGGAGCGAAGUGUAAAAAAUGCCUAGACGUAAGGCACCACAGACUAUUUGCCCAUCUUAUGACAAAAAUUAUUUAGGUCUUGUAGGAUGGAGAAAUCAAAAGUGCCAUUCUCUGGCCAUUUAGAGCCAUUAUCAAGUUUGUACUGGGGCCGAGUGGUGUUGCAGAAGAAAAUAAGACACUUAGGUUUUAGAUCAGGUGAGAGUUGAGGAGGUUUCAAGUUUUUAAGAACACAGGCUAAGGGGGAAGAAGGAGUAAUGGAGGGCAGAAGCUGCCCAUAGUAAAAAGGUGAGAUGGAUUUCUUGAAGACAGCAUACCCGUGGGUCUUGUCACUCUGUGUCUUUCAAUUGGGACAUUUAGCCUAUUUACAUUCAAGGUU
rnacentral:lncRNA from 1 species